UACGAGGGGGGCGAGCGUUGUUCGGAAUUAUUGGGCGUAAAGGGUGCGUAGGCGGUUCCGCAAGUCCUGUGUGAAAUCUUCGGGCUCAACUCGAAGUCUGCACGGGAAACUGCGGGGCUUGAGUGUGGGAGAGGUGAGUGGAAUUCCCGGUGUAGCGGUGAAAUGCGUAGAGAUCGGGAGGAACACCAGUGGCGAAGGCGGCUACCUGGACCAGCACUGACACUGAGGCACGAAAGCGUGGGGAGCAAACAGG
rnacentral:rRNA from 1 species